UACGAAGGGGGCUAGCGUUGCUCGGAAUCACUGGGCGUAAAGGGCGCGUAGGCGGGCGGGCAAGUCAGGGGUGAAAUCCCACGGCUCAACCGUGGAAGUGCCUUUGAUACUGCCGGUCUGGAGGGAGGUAGGGGCGUGCGGAACUUCCGGUGGAGCGGUGAAAUGCGUAGAUAUCGGAAGGAACACCGGUGGCGAAAGCGGCGCGCUGGACCUCUACUGACGCUGAGGCGCGAAAGCCAGGGGAGCAAACGGG
rnacentral:rRNA from 1 species